CUCCUUCAUCUUCCAUGAAUUUUCUUCGACAUUGUCUAUGGUGGGUUUUCCGACGUUAUUUCCGAUCACCGUCUCUCCUCCAAAUCCUUCUCUUUCUUCAUCGUCAUCUCCAUUUCUUCACAAACAAAUUUUAUAUCUAACUUUGUAUUUGACUCGUCACUUCCAUCGCUUUUAUACACAACACACAAUCAAUCAAUCAUCACCAAAUAAUUCACAAAAACAAAGAGCUUGGAACAGAGAUACAAAGGUAAAGAGAGAAAAAGAAAUAAUUAGUUUACAUGAUUUUAGAAUGGAUUAAACUUUUCAAUUGAAGAAUUUGGGGAUGUAAAUUAUGUUUUUGUAAUUUAGAGAAAGAUCGAAGGGGAGAAAGAGGUGGGAAAAGGAGAAGAAGAGAAGGUGAGAAGGUGAAAUUGGGAUUAGAGUUGCAGGUAACAAUGGAGGAGGAAGAAGAUUUGAGAGACGUGAAGAGAGAGGAGAAUAUUUGAGAAGAGAAGAUUUUUUUUUCCUGAUAACACAAAAGUUAACCCUGAUAAAUAAAUUAUCAUGAUAAAUAAAUAUACUAAUGUGUAAAUUAGCGGUAAUAAAUAAAUUAUUAAAAUAAA
rnacentral:lncRNA from 1 species